rnacentral:rRNA from 3 species
UCCCCCAGUAGCGGCGAGCGAACGGGGAGCAGCCCAGAGUCUGAAUCAGCUUGUGUGUUAGUGGAACGGUCUGGAAAGUCCGACGGUACAGGGUGAUAGUCCCGUACACCAAAAUGCACAGGUUGUGAACUCGAAGAGUAGGGCGGGACACGUGGUAUCCUGUCUGAAUAUGGGGGGACCAUCCUCCAAGGCUAAAUACUCCUGACUGACCGAUAGUGAACCAGUACCGUGAGGGAAAGGCGAAAAGAACCCCGGCGAGGGGAGUGAAAAAGAACCUGAAACCGUGUACGUACAAGCAGUGGGAGCCU